GGCGCCAUAGCCAAGUGGUAAGGCAGAGGUCUGCAAAACCUUUAUCCCCAGUUCAAAUCUGGGUGGCGCCUCCA
rnacentral:tRNA from 2 species